UGGCUCAGAUUGAACGCUGGCGGAAUGCUUUACACAUGCAAGUCGAACGGUAGAGGGGGCAACCCUUGAGAGUGGCGAACGGGUGAGUAAUAUAUCGGAACGUGCCCAGUCGUGGGGAUAACGUAGCGAAAGUUACGCUAAUACCGCAUACGAUCUAAGGAUGAAAGCGGGGGAUCGCAAGACCUCGCGCGAUUGGAGCGGCCGAUAUCAGAUUAGGUAGUUGGUGAGGUAAAGGCUCACCAAGCCAACGAUCUGUAGCUGGUCUGAGAGGACGACCAGCCACACUGGAACUGAGACACGGUCCAGACUCCUACGGGAGGCAGCAGUGGGGAAUUUUGGACAAUGGACGCAAGUCUGAUCCAGCCAUUCCGCGUGCAAGAUGAAGGCCCUCGGGUUGUAAACUGCUUUUGUACGGAACGAAAAGGUUUCUAUUAAUACUAGGAGCUCAUGACGGUACCGUAAGAAUAAGCACCGGCUAACUACGUG
rnacentral:rRNA from 1 species